UUUCCAGACUCCUACGGGAGGCAGCAGUAAGGGAUAUUGGUCAAUGGGGGAAACCCUGAACCAGCAACGCCGCGUGAGGGAAGACGGUUUUCGGAUUGUAAACCUCUGUCCUCUGUGAAGAUGAUGACGGUAGCAGAGGAGGAAGCUCCGGCUAAACACGUGCCAGCAGCCGCGGUAAUACGUAUGGAGCAAGCGUUAUCCGGAUUUACUGGGUGUAAAGGGAGCGCAGGCGGUCUGGCAAGUCUGAUGUGAAAUACCGGGGCUCAACUCCGGGACUGCAUUGGAAACUGUCAGACUGGAGUGUCGGAGAGGCAGGUGGAAUUCCUGGUGUAGCGGUGAAAUGCGUAGAUAUCAGGAGGAACACCGGUGGCGAAGGCGGCCUGCUGGACAGUAACUGACGUUGAGGCUCGAAAGCGUGGGGAGCAAACAGGAUUAGAUACCCCGGUA
rnacentral:rRNA from 1 species